rnacentral:rRNA from 1 species
UUGGAGGGCAAGUCUGGUGCCAGCAGCCGCGGUAAUUCCAGCUCCAAUAGCGUAUAUUAAAGUUGCUGCAGUUAAAAAGCUCGUAGUUGAAUUUCGGGACUAAUAUGUCGGUCGUGCCUCGGUACGUACUGGCUUAUUGGUUUCUCCUUUCUGAAGAACCAUGAUGUCAUUUAUUUGGUGUCGUGGGGAAUCAGGACUGUUACUUUGAAAAAAUUAGAGUGUUUAAAGCAGGCUCACGCUUGAAUACAUUAGCAUGGAAUAAUGAAAUAGGACGUUUGAUUCUAUUUUGUUGGUUUCUAGGAUCGACGUAAUGAUUAAUAGGGAUAGUUGGGGGCAUUAGUAUUCAAUUGUCAGAGGUGAAAUUCUUGGAUUUAUUGAAGACUAACUACUGCGAAAGCAUUUGCCAAGGAUGUUUUCAUUAAUCAAGAACGAAAGUUAGGGGAUCGAAGACGAUCAGAUACCGUCGUAGUCUUAACCAUAAACUAUGCCGACUAGGGAUCGGAUGAUGUUAAUUUUUUAAUGACUCAUUCGGCGCCUUACGGGAAAC